UCUGUGUUGGAUUUAAUUUGCUUCCUUGGUUUAAAAUUAUAUAGAUAGAUAGAUAGAGGUCUAUCUAUCUAUCUAUCUAUCUAUCUAUCUAUCUAUCUAUCUAUCUUCUAUUGUUAGUUCUGUAUCUUUCUGUAACCUCUCCCUGUUUUCUUAAAUACGCUUUAACCAACGAAAAAGUUUUUGCACAUUUUUUACAGAAGCACAACAUAUUGACAGUACAUAAAUAUUGUAUUCAACUUUUUCAUUUUGUUUACAUAGGCAUCGUCAUGUAAUCAUCACCUAAGAACUAGAACAUUAGCAGGCCCUAGAAGCCUCACUCUUGCCCCUCCCUUUAAUAUCUCAAAGGAUGACACUUCUGUGGUGUGUAGUGAGUCUCUACUUUUAUGGAAUCCUGCAAAGUGAUGCCUCAGGUAAGUGAAUGGCUUUUGACAAUGUAUUAAAAUGCAAGUCAUGCAUAGGGUAAUGAGUCCACUCU
rnacentral:sRNA from 1 species